GACGAACGCUGGCGGCGUGCUUAACACAUGCAAGUCGAACGGAAAGGCCCUGCUUUUGUGGGGUGCUCGAGUGGCGAAAGGGUGAGUAACACGUGAGUAACCUGCCCUUGACUUUGGGAUAACUUCAGGAAACUGGGGCUAAUACCGGAUAGGAGCUCCUGCUGCAUGGUGGGGGUUGGAAAGUUUCGGCGGUUGGGGAUGGACUCGCGGCUUAUCAGCUUGUUGGUGGGGUAGUGGCUUACCAAGGCUUUGACGGGUAGCCGGCCUGAGAGGGUGACCGGCCACAUUGGAACUGAGAUACGGCCCAGACUCCUACGGGAGGCAGCAGUGGGGAAUAUUGCACAAGGGGCGGAAGCCUGCUGCAGCAACGCCGCGUGCGGGAGGACGGCCUUCGGGUUGUAAACCGCUUUCGCCUGUGACGAAGCGUGAGUGACGGUAAUGGGUAAAGAAGCACCGGCGAACUACGU
rnacentral:rRNA from 1 species